UACGUAGGGUGCAAGCGUUAAUCGGAAUUACUGGGCGUAAAGCGUGCGCAGGCGGUGAUGUAAGACAGAUGUGAAAUCCCCGGGCUCAACCUGGGAACUGCAUUUGUGACUGCAUCGCUGGAGUGCGGCAGAGGGGGAUGGAAUUCCGCGUGUAGCAGUGAAAUGCGUAGAUAUGCGGAGGAACACCGAUGGCGAAGGCAGCCCCCUGGGCUAGCACUGACGCUCAGGCACGAAAGCGUGGGGAGCAAACAGG
rnacentral:rRNA from 1 species